rnacentral:lncRNA from 1 species
CUCUCUCUCAUAAGUCUUAAAUAUAUAAUGGGAAAGAAAUGACUGAGUAAUGUUGUGAUGACUGUGGCAAAUACAUAGGGACUGUAUCAACAUGGUAUAUUCAGCACCUUUUUUGUUGGGAAUGAGGUUCCAGGCCUGUUCAGCUAUAAAAGUACCAAGUCCUCGAUAUCUUUUAUUGUCCCUUUACUACUUGCUAGUCACAGAAUUCGAGGCUUGAACAUCUUUGCUACCUAUGCAAAGGAAAAUUCAAAUAAUUAUUCUACUAGACCUAAUAUUGGUCCAAUAAUGAUCAAAGUGAGAAACAAGAGUAAGGGUCUGAAGUGGAUCUAUGACCCAUUUUUCUAUGGAAUCCCAAGUGACGGAGAAGAUAUGAUAUGGUUGAGCCAUUGGAAGAUGGAGAAUAAAACAAUAUUACAAUGUGGAGAUGAAGUGGUGGUUUCGGUAAUAACUGGACCACGUGACAUGUUUUGGGUCAAGGAGUUUGGUGUCGAGCUUGUGCAAGAGCACCAAGACAAGAUGAGUACCCAACACAACACCAAAUCUGAUCCUAAUUAUCCAUUUGUUAUUGAUGGAGAUUUGAAGAUGUUUGAGGACAGACCGGGAAAAUACUUCCUUGGCAGUUAUUUUAUAGAAGAAAUUGAUGACAUUGAUAUCCUCACCAUGGACUCUGAUGAAGAAGACACAAGUAUGUUGUGUUGUUGUAUUGCAUUGAAUUAUACUUCAUCCAAACACUUCCAGGUGUGUCCGUAUUCAUUUCAAAAACGUUUCCAAUAAAUUUUAUGUUAUUUGUAUGUUUUUCAGACAAAGAAGGGCAAGAGGAUGAACCUGAUUACACAAUUGCAAAGACGAGGGCUGCUAGCAAUAACUGCAGCCUGAGAGGCUGGAAGGUGCGCCUCACAGCUGUCGGCUUCUUUUUCGCGCUUGCUCUAGUAGGUUGGUCCUCCAUCUCCCAAAAAAAGAAGCGACAAUCGUCCACAAGCCCACCAUGAGUUUGUAAUUUGACUUCAAAUGUGCUUGCUCUAGUAGCUAAGCACUCUUAACCGCUUGAGAUAUAAAAGCCCAUUGCAACUAGAUACUGAACUUCAAAUGUGUUCAACGCCAUCAAAUAUAGCAUAAAAUACAUCCAGCAUUAGGUUCCAAGCCCACUAUUGAAAAUCAUGUUCAUCCACUCUACACAUCCAAGGCAGCAAACUAACUAGGAUACCAGGUUGGGAGGAUACAAUCAUUAACAAUUUCAAAAGCUAUAAAUGCAAUCCGAAUACAUGGCAAGUAGGGGUAAGCAUGUGAACAAAAAAAUCAGUGAACAUAAUCAAAUCCAAUACGUCAAUUUUGGCCUAGAUUGAAAUGAAAAAAACAAGGAAAUGCUUUGUGUAUCGAUUUGUUUAUGAAGGAAAUAAAACAUAUUUCAUGGAAAGAAAACCUGUGGUUACCUUUGUCUUCCUCUGCCAUUUGUCUAUCGAUUUGUUUCUGAAAGUGGCUAUUCUACAAGAUACAACAUGACAGGUCUUAGUUAGACCAAGUAAACGGCAUGGAAAUGCUUUCUGAAGCAAGAAUGUGUACUCAAGAGCUUUGUGCCAGAGAGGUCGUCGUACCCAGUGCACAAGGCUCCCGCUUUACGCAGGGUCUGGGAGAGGUGAAUGUCGGCUAGCCUUACCCCUAUUUAUGGAGAGGACUUAAGAAAAAUGAAAAAAACAAUAUAGAAUAUGGGUAAGAAUAAAUUUCGAUUAGACAAUAAUUCACUGUAUAAAUCGUUUUUUCAACUUUAAAGUGUGGCUUAAAAAGAAGCUUUAAACAAGUAGCAAUAAUUUCAUAUUGAAAAAUAAAACCUAUUUCAUGGAUAUUACAAGAGCCAUUAUUUUGAAAAACACACCUUUUGGUUCUUCACCACUUGACUUUUAAGAAGAUCUUCGUCCUUGUGACGAUUCAAAUUCUUUAAAAUAUCUCUACGACGGAAUAAACAAAACCAAUCUAGGCCAAAAUUGACUUGUUCGAUUUGAUUAUGUUCACUGAUUUUUCUGUUCACAUGUUUACCCCUACUUGCCAUAUAGUUUUGGGGUGUUAGUGCAUAGUGCUCUUCUCUUUACACACCAGUUUCAAUUUUAUUCUUCGUAAAUUAAGAGACCGUUUGAUAAUCAUUUCGUUUUCAAUUUAAAAAAUAUAAAAAACUAAAUGAAGUUUUCAACUAGAAUUUUCGCUUUUGGUUUUCAAUUUUAAUUUUUUUUAAAACAACUGAAAACUAAAAAUAGUUGCAAAAAGAAUUUUUCAUUUUUUUUUAAUUUAUAAAAAAGUAAAAACUGAAAACUCUAAACUAUAGACUAAAAAUUAAAAAGUGAAAUCGAAAUGGGCUCUCAACAAAAUUGAAAAAAGACUGGGCUGAAUUACUGAAUUCAAAGCAGGGCUUAUUAACGUUACGAGGCCCAAUGGAUCUGGAUAAAUAUUUUUCAUUUUUUUUUAACAAACGAUAUUAUUUAUAUAGGCUUAAUUUUACAGUGGGCUAACAAUAAUGUGGUUCAAAUUUGCUUUUCGCAAGAAUAGAACCUAAAACUUCUCACUUAUAAAUGAAGAGGAAUACCACUAAACCGUAGUCCUGAUAGAUUCGUUAUUUUAUUUUAUAUUUUAAGAAAAAAGAAAGAAAGCAAUGAAAAGCUGUACAUAAAAUAAAUACAAAAAGGAAUGAAAUGAAGAAGAGUGGGAGACUAAUGUUUAAUUCAAGAUAAAGAAAGAAAGCUGAUCGCACCACGACGGCGGCGACGUGGCGGUCAUUUAACGGAAAAUAACAGACAAAUCAGCCUCCAGAUCAAAUCUUGAAGCACAACUCUGAAAAAUCGAGACUACCAACAGCUGAGCUCCGACCAACCGUUGAUGGAUGCAAUCAGGAAGCUCAGAGAUCAGGUCGCCAAGCAACAGCAGGUACUCCCUCUCGUUUGAUUCCGAAUUUGUAUUUCUGUAUGGAUUUUGAUAUGAACAUAAUCUGCGUUGAUUGCGAGAUACUGAGAUUGCUUAAUGAAAUAAUAUUUAUAUAAUUGUUCGAGUUGAAUUGGAUCGAUUCGAAUUCAAAUAGAAUGUCACUAUUUCUGAGCUGUUUGGGGAUGUGUUGGAGUGCAAUGUUGAUGAAUUUCUGAAAUUUUGAGCUAGGUGUUGCUAAUUACUUAUCGAUUUUUGAUGUAAUUGGAUGCUUAAUUUUUACAUUUUCGGAAAACUUCAAACGAAAAUGGCAUAUAAUUCAACGUUCUAUGCUUCAUUAAUGCAUAAGAGUUGGUCGAAGCUUGAUCGAGUUUGCUUUUGGUUAUUUUGUGAACACCGUCAGGCUGUGUUCAAACAAUUUUCUGGUGGCAUAUAUGGGGGAUCGGAUAAUGUUGCCUCGGAUGAAAAUGAAUUUCAACAGCAUCAGAAACUCGAGAAGCUGUACAUAUCAACUCGUGCUGCCAAGGUUGCUACGCUUAUUUUUGUCUGUGCUUUAAACGAGCAUCACGUUAGUUGUGUUACCUAUCGUUUUUUUGCUUCAUCUUUAACAGCAUUACCAAAAGGAAAUUGUCCGCGGAGUGGAAGGUUACAUUGUGGCCGGUUCAAAGCACGUUGAAAUAGGUAUGUUGCUUGAAAUGCGUUGUCUUUUCUUUGGAGUUUGGAUAUGAAUUCAUGCUGGUUUUAUCAGUUGGUAUACAUAAUAUUUUUUCAACAGGUACCAAGCUAUCAGAAGAUAGCAGGAAAUAUGGUUCUGAAAAGACUUGCACCAGUGAUAACACAUUGUCGAGAGCUGCACUUAGUUUUGGAUGAGGUGGGGCCCAAAUGGAAAAAGAGUGCGGAGUUCUACUUAAAGCCCUUGGCACACAGGUUUAAGUCAAAUUAUUACUAACAGAGGCUAUUAAGUAAAAAUCAAAUAUUGCCAGGGCCGGCUUCAUACAAAUGGAAUUUCAACUGACUAAUUUUCGUGUGCAUUUGAUCAUUUCGAAAGAAAUUUACAGCAAAAAUUGUUUUCAUUUCCACGUCGUGGUUCAAGAAUUGGACUACUUUUUGUGUUUCUAUGCAUCGUAUGACAAACUGGCUCACCAUUUCUUUCUAUAGGUUUGCAUAAUAACUCUUUGUGUGCUUAUCAAUUUGCCUGUGUAGGUUGCAUAGCCUUUAUAGUGGGAGCGCCCAUGGAGGAUGCUCGACAUCUUGCUCAACGUUAUGCUAGAAUGCGGCAAGAAGCUGAAGCUCAGGUAUAUGCAGUUUCUUCUGUUUCCUACCAAUUUUAUUCUACAGUGAUUUUAUAUCCAAAACAAGCAUUGACUUGGCUGUCCAUCCAUCAAUAGCAGGUCCACAUCUCAACCCAAAUAUAAUGACGUCAAAGGAGAGGGGAAAAUGAGAAGGAAACUCUGGAGGGUAGAGGGAAGGAAAAGGGGAAAAGGAGAAAGGGAGAAGGGAAAAGUAGAACGGGAAGGAGGAAAAUGAGAGGAAAUUUCGGAGAAUAGAGAAAGGGAGAAGGGAAAAGAAGAAAAGCAGAAAAGAAGGGAAAAGGGGAAGGAAGCUUAGGAGGCUAGAGAAAAAGAUGGAAAUGCAUAAAAAUAAAAAAAUAAAAAAGGAAAGUCGCCUUCAUCAUUAUGUCUACUAACGGAAAGGAGCAACCACAUUGUAAAUUAUAUUUUGUAUAAUGAGAAACCAGUAUUCCUACCCUGAGGGUAUAGACACAACUUGCUGAAUCUCGUUACUAUACAGCAAGUUUAUAAUUGCACAAUAAUUCGAUCAAUCAUCUUAAGUUCAACCAUACAUGUAACAAGAUUUAAGUUUUUCCAAACUUUCCUUAUGAAGGUAACUGAACAUUACAAGUGUCACGUUAUUAUGCGAUUCUAUCAAGUUUUAAUUUUUGUCUCAUAACCACAUUACAAGUGCCACGUUAUUUAUUUUAUCCUUUAUUUUAUCUUUAUUAUUAAAACUUAAAAUUUUCAUAUUUUUUUAUUAAUUUUUUUUUAUAAAAUCACACGUAAAACAAGAAGUAAUCUUUUCUUUUUCUUUUCAUCUCUGCCACUAGCGGCCGACCAUGACUUAAAGAAACGCUUUUUGGAUGGGUCAAUGUAUGGGAACGACCCAUUUUAUAUGUUACAUGGUUGUGCAAUUAAAAGUGCAUUUUAUCAUAAAAAUGUGAGCAACGAUCAAUAUAAUUGUUAUUUAUAAAAUCACACAAAACACAAGAAGGAAUCUUUUCUUUUUCUUUUUCAUCUCUGCCACUACCAGCCGACCAUGACUUAAAAGAAACGCUUUUUGGUUCAAUGGAUGGGAACGACCUAUUUUAUAAUAAGAAAAAUUAAUUAAAAAAAUUUAAAAAUUUUAAGUUUUAAUAAUAAAAAGAUGUUGUAAAUAAAUAGUACAUAAUUGAUUUUUUUAGUAAAAGUAUAAUUUUUUAUUAAAAUUUCGUUCAAAUCCCCUUUAUAAUAUUGUUUGUAAAUUUUUCUGGAAGUAGAUGGAAAUGACCCAAUUACAUAUUUCCCCUGCUCACAGACAUUUUCAUUGCACCUAGAAAACCAGUUUUUUGUUAGAAAAUCGAUCCACAUCAAUGGCUCUUGUGAGAACAUCUCCAGGAACCUCCUCUGAUUCCAACACUUUUCGGAGUUAUCGCUACGACGUGUUCUUGAGCUUCAGAGGCGAAGAUACUCGCAAGACUUUUACCGACCACCUCUACACAGCCUUGAACAACGCAGGAUUUCUUACGUUCCGAGACGACGAUGAACUUGAGAGAGGAGAAGAUAUAAAGCCAGGACUGCAGAAAGCGAUCCAGCAGUCACGAACUUCUGUUGUCGUGUUUUCGAAAGAUUACGCUUCAUCCAGUUGGUGUCUUGAUGAGCUUGUGCUGAUCCUUGAACGCAAGAGGACCACCUCGGACCAUGUAGUUUUACCAGUCUUCUACGAUGUCGAUCCGUCCCACGUGAGGAAGCAGACAGGAAGUGUUGGAAAAGCAUUUGCUAGAAGCCAGAAAAAUCAGUCGCCGGAAAAGGUGCAGGGAUGGAGGAAGGCACUUGCAGAGAUUGCAGACCUAGCAGGCAUGGUCUUACAAAAUCAAGCUGAUGGGUAACUUUCAUUAUCUCCAUUUCUCAUCUUUCCUGGGUGAAUUUGAUGUAUGAUCCGUAAUGACCUAGAUUUUUAUAUGUUUAUUAAUUCAAUCUCAGUAGUGAAUAAUAAUCUCAAUUUAGGUCAACUUAAAGAAAUCACACUCAACUCAACUUAAGGAUUAGUCAUUUUCCAUGUUAAUCUACUGGUUUCCAGUUGCUUAAAUUUUUUUGAAAGCUGGUGUGGAAAAAGGUUAGGAUGUGAUCUGUCUAUAGUUCGUGUAAAUUAUGCGCUGUAUUCCUUUUUUUUUUCAAUUUAAUUUUGUCAGCAGUCCUCUUUUUUUUUUCUUAUUUAAAAAGGCAAUCAACAUAUGUUUUAAUUAUCUAAUUUCCCCAAUUCAUUUUUCAUUUUGUUUGCAAAUUCUUAGGUACGAGUCAAAGUUUAUCAAAAAAAUUGUUGAAGUGAUAGGAGACAAGUUAUGUCGUACGUCGUUGAGUGUUGAACCAAAAUUGAUUGGAAUUCAAUCUCAAGCCGAACGCAUCAAUUUGUGGUUACAAGAUGGAUCAAGUCAUGUUGGUAUAUUUGUUGUGUAUGGCAUGUCUGGAAUAGGGAAGACAACCAUUGCAAAACAUGUUUACAAUUCAAACUUUGGAAGCUUUCAAGGAAGUAGUUUCAUUGAAAAUAUCAAAGAAACAGCAGAUCGACCAAAUGGCUUAGUUCAAAUACAAAUGCAACUUCUUUGUGAUAUUUUGAACGGCAGAGAAGUGAAAAUACACAGUGUUAGUGAGGGAAUAAUUAAGAUUGAAAGGGCCAUAAGCACUAGAAGAGUUCUACUUGUUCUUGAUGAUGUUGACCAAAUGGACUAAUUCGAUGCAAUCCUAAGGAUGAAGGAUCAGUUUUAUCCUGGAAGUAAGAUACUAAUAACAACUAGGCGUGAAAGGCUGCUAAAGGCAGAUCAAGUUACAGAGGUGCACAGAGUUCAAACUUUGGAUUACAAUGAAUCAUUAAAGCUUUUCAGUUGGCAUGCUUUUGGCCAGGACCAUCCCAUAGAAGAAUACAUGGAGCACUCAAAACAGCUAGUGCAACAUAGCGACGGACUUCCAUUAGCUCUAAAAGUUUUGGGUUCUUCUUUAUCAGGGGAAAGUAUAGGUGUAUGGGAAAGUGCAUUGGAGAAGCUAAAAGUUAUUCCUGAUGGUGAAAUCAUAAACAAACUAAGAAUAAGCUAUGAAAGUUUAAAAGAUGACCAUGACCGGAAAUUAUUCCUCCACAUUGCUUGUUUCCUAAUAGGAAGGAACAAAACCUACAUUGUUAGAAUAUUCGAUGGAUGUGAUUUCUAUACAAUCAUUGGCAUUCAAAAUCUCAUUGAUAGAUGCUUGGUGACAUUUGAUGAACACGGCAAGGUGAAAAUGCAUGACAUGAUUCGUGCUAUGGGAAGAGAAAUUGUUCGCCAAGAAUCAGAAGAGCUUGAGGAACGUAGUAGAUUAUGGCGCCAUAAGGAUUCUUUCCAAGUAUUGAGGAAAAAGAAUGUAAGAAACAUGCCUUUUAUGUCUAUAUAUGUCUUUCUUCUUGUGAAAAUUAUGCAUAUUAAUGUCUUUUUUUUUUCCUUUAGGGUACAAAAAAAAUCCAAGGUCUUGUCCUGGAUAUGCGUAAUCAUUCUGCAAACAGUCCAAUAAACACAAAUGAGAUAGUCUUGGAAACCAAUGCAUUUGCAAGGAUGUGCAAUUUACAACUACUCCAUCUUAGUCAUGUACGACUGGAUGGAUGUUAUGCAGAUUUCCCUACAGGAUUAAGAUGGUUGUGUUGGCUUGAAUUUCCUUUGGAUUCUAUACCAAUUGAUUUUCCUUUGGAGAACGUAAUUGUUCUGGAAAUGCAAUACAGUAGCUUGAGACAAGUAUGCAAAGGAACAAAAGUAUGUUACUCUAUGCAUUUCAAUUCAUUUUCCUUAUUUUGUUAGUUUUUUAUUUGUUGACUAACUUCGUGUGUUAAAAUGAACUACUAUGUUUUCUUUAAUUCAAUGACUAAUUUCUUAUAUUAGAUACUUAUUUCAUUGUUAUUUUUUCUUCUUUUUUUUCCCUCUGUUUCCACAGUUUCUUCCAUCGUUGAAGAUCCUUGACGUCAGCCAUUCUCAUGGCCUUAGUGAAACCAUUGACUUCUCACUUUUCCCCAAUCUAGAGGAACUGAUUCUUGUAGAUUGCACAAGCCUGAAGAAUGUUCAUGAAUCCAUUGGAAGCUUGGAGAGACUCGUGUACUUGAAUAUAAAGGAUUGCAAGAAUCUUAGGAAGCUUCCGAAGAACAUGUGCAUGCUUAAGGCCCCGUUUGGGAUUGAGGUGAUUUUAAAAAAAGCCACUGUCAAAAAAAGCUGAGGAUCAUUUUUGUGUUUGGUAAACUGAAAAAAAAGGGCUUAUUUUGGAAGCUGCUGUGAGAAUAAGCUGAAAAUCAAAGAAAAAGCUGAAGCUGCUAUUUGCUGCUUUGAAAAAAAGCCAGUUUUUUCAAAGCACACGGAGCUACAGUGCUCCUUUAAUGAAAAGACACACUAUCAUCCUGCUUUUUUUUCCAAAAGCACUUUCACAAAAAAGUUUACCAAACACUCUACUGGCUUUAUUUCACAGCCGCUUAUUCUCACAGCACAGCUGCUUAUUCUUACAGCAGCUUUUUUUCAAAGCACAGCAAUACCAAACCAGCCCUAAAUCACUUGAACACUCAUUUUAUCUGGUUGCUCAAAUCUUGAUGAGUUUCCAAUGGAGAUGAUGAAGAUGGAGUCUCUGAAAGUUCUUGAGACAGAUGGACUUCCAAUAGGUAAAUUGUGGCCAGAAAGAAGUUCAACUAUCUUGAGUUCUUUUCCAUGCUCUUUAGUAGAGUUAAGUCUGAAGGGGUGCAAUCUUUCUGAUGAUGUCCUUCCUACGGAUUUAAGUAAUCUAUCCAAUUUGCAGUCUGCCAGUUUUCAUCAAAGGUUUGAGGAAGAUCGAUGAACUCUCUUUCAAGGGUUGUGAUAGGCUCGAAUCGCUUGUGGGGUUGCCGGAAGUACACCAAUGGCUAAGUAUAGCCGGAUGCAUAUCAUUAAAAAAAAUAACUUUUCAUUCCCCUGAGCAACCGUAUCUAGUACGUGGGGGUGACAACUCGAAUAACUGUAAUUGCUGUUACAAGUUACAGCCUUUUGAUAGAGUUGAUGUGAAAAUGAUCAAACUUAUGGGCUUGUGCAACUUUGAAUCCAUGCCAGCUGUUCAAAUGCGUAAUUCAUACACAUACAGGGAUCCAAAAGAGGUCCCCGUCCAGGUGCGCCUCUCUUUCUCUCUCUCAUAAGUCUUAAAUAUAUAAUGGGAAAGAAAUUACUGAGUAAUGUUGUGAUGACUGUGGCAAAUACAUAGGGACUGUAUCAAUUUGGUGUAUUCAGCACUUUUUUUGUUGGGAAUGAGGUUCCAGGCCGGUUCAGCUAUAAAAGUACGAAGUAUUCGAUAUCUUUUAUUGUCCCUUUACUACUUGCUAGUCACAGAAUUCGAGGCUUGAACAUCUUUGCUACCUAUGCAAAGGAAAAUUCAAAUAAUUAUUCUACUGGACCUAUUAUUGUUCCAAUAAUGAUCAAAGUGAGAAACAAGAGCAAGGGUUUGAAGUGGAUCUAUUGCCCAUUAUCCUAUGGAAUCCCAGGUGACGGAGAAGAUAUGAUAUGGUUGAGCCAUUGGAAGAUGGAGAAUAAUACAAUAUUACAAUGUGGAGAUGAAGUGGUGGUUUCGGUAAUAACCGGACCACGUGACUUGUUUUUGGUAAAGGAGUUUGGUGUCGAGCUUGUGCAAGAGCACCAAGACAAGAUGAGUACCCAACACAACACCAAAUCAGAUCCUAAUUAUCCAUUUGUUAUCGGUGGAGAUUUGAAGACGUGGAAGUGCAAACCAGGAAUAUACUUCCUUAGCUGUAGGAGACGAGAAGAUACUGACGACAUUGAUAUCCUCACCAUGGACUCUGAUGAAGAAGACACAAGUAUGUUGUGUUGUUGUAUAGCAUUGAAUUAUACUCCAUCCAAACACUUCCGGGUGUGUCCGUAUUCAUUUCAAAAACAUUUCCAAUAAAUUUUAUGUUAUUUGUAUGUUUUUCAGACAAAGAAGGGCAAGAGGAUGAACCUGAUUACACAAUUGCAAAGACGAUGGCAGCUAGCAAUAACUGCAGCCUAAGAGGAUGGAAGGUGCGCCUCACAGCUGUCGGCUUCUUUUUCGCGCUUGCUCUAGUUGGUUGGUCCUCCAUCUCGCAAAAAAAGAAGCGACACUCGUCCACAAGCCCACCAUGAGUUUGUAAUUUGACUUGAUAUAGAUAUAUCUUUGCAUUCCUUGCUCUCAAGAUGUUUUCUACCUUCGAAACUUCAAGUUUAGAGCUAAGCACUUUAACCGCUUGAGAUAUAAAAGCCCCUUGCAACUAGAUACCGAAGUUCAAAUGUGUUCAACGCCAUCAAAUAUAGCAUAAAAUACAUCCAGCAUUAGCGAUACUAGCAUAGUAGCAGUAAAUAAGUAAAACCAAAAAAUGCUUCCACACAUGGUAAGGGAAGGACUUUACAUAGGAAUCUUUAGCAAUAACGGGCAAGAUUUUUUUGUUUUUGGGAGGAGGUGGAUUAUUUCGGCACCGGGGAAAACAAAAACAUCCCAUCUUAGUUGUCGUUUACAACAAAAUCAUUCUUAAAGACUCGGCUCCCCAUUGAAAUUGUGUAAAUUGCAUAAAUAUCAAUACAACAGAUAUUAAAUAGAAUAAUAUAUAUCAAAUAAAUUAACGACAAGCAAUUUCUUAGCCUGAGAUCCAAGGACUUUACAGCUGGUUCAGCCUUGCAUUCGCUACUACAUUACAGAAGCUGGUUUCUGCUUCUUCAACCUGAACAAAUUAUUGAGGUCAGGAAGUAUAAGAGGAACGACCAUAGUCUCUGGAGCCAUGAAAUUUACUAUCUUCUUUUGGGCAUUGUACCUGCAAAAGCAUAAUGCAAUAAGCAUUCAACAAUCUGACCUAGUUUUCUCAACAGAUACUCCAAGAUAUUCCAAAACAAAGUCACAGCAAUUUCACAUAGGGAACCGAAGAAUCAUGUUCGUCCACUCUACACAUCCAAAGCAGCAAACUAACAAUUUCACAUAGGAUACCAGGUUGGGAGGAUACAAUCAUUAACAAUUUCAAAAGCUUUAAAUGCAAUCUGAAUACAUGGCAAGUAGGGGUAAACAUGUGAACAGAAAAAAUCAGUGAACAUAAUCAAAUCCAAUACGUCAAUUUUGGCCUAGAUUGAAAUGAAAAAAAAACAAGGAAAUGCUUUGUUGUUUUUGAAGGAAAUAAAACCUAUUUCAUGGAAAUAAAACCUGUGGUUACCUUUGUCUUCCUUUGCCAUUUGUCUAUCGAUUUGUUUCUGAAAGUGGCUAUUCUACAAGAUACAGCAUGACAGGUCCUAGUUAGACCAAGCAACCGGCAUGGAAAUGCUUUCUGAAGCAAGAAUCUGAACUCAAGAGCUUUGUGCCAGAGAGACUUCAGAAAAAUGAAAAAAAACAACAUAGAAUAUGGGUAAGAAUAAACAUCGAUCAAACAAUAAUUCACUGUAUAAAACAUUUUUUCAACUUUAAAGUGUGGCUUAAAAAGAAGCUUUAAACAAGUAGCAAUAAUUUCAUAUUGAAAAAUAAAACCUGGAUAUUACAAGAGCCAUUAUUUUGAAAGACACACCUUUUGGUUCUUCACUACUUGACUUUUAAGAAGAUCUUCGUCCUUGUCACGAUUCAGAUUCUUUAAAAUAUCUCUGCGAUGGAAUAAACAAAACCAAUCUAGGCCAAAAUUGACUUAUUCGAUUUGAUUAUGUUCACUGAUUUUUCUAUUCACAUGUUUACCCCUUACUUGCCAUAUGGUUUUGGGGUGUUAGUGCAUAGUGCUCUUCUCUUUACACACCUGUUUCAUUUGUAUUCGUUGUAAAUUAAGAGACCGUUUGAUAAUCAUUUCGUUUUCAAUUUAAAAAAUAUAAAAAACUAAAUAAAGUUUUCUAAAUUUGACCUAGAAUUUUUCGCUUUUGGUUUUUAAUUUUUUUUUUUAACAACUGAAAACUAAAAAUAGUUACAAAUUUUUUUUUCAGUUUUUAAUUUACAAAAAAGUAAAAACUGAAAACUCUAAACUAUAGACUAAAAAUUAAAAAGUGAAAUCGAAAUGGGCUCUCAACAAAAUUGAAAAAAGACUGGGCUGAAUUACUGAAUUCAAAGCAGGGCUUAUUAACGCUACGAGGCCCAAUGGAUCUGUAUAAAUAUUUUUUGUUUUUUUUUAACAAACGAUAUUAUCUAUAUGGGCUUAACCUUACAAUAGGCUAACAAUAAUGUGGUUCAAAUUUAUUUUUGACGAGAAUCGAACCUAAAACUUCUCGCUUACAAAUGAAGAGGAAUACCACUAAAUCAUAGUCCUGAUAUUUUAUUUAAUAUUUUAAGAAAAAAGAAAGAAAGCAAUGAAAAGCUGUACAUAAACUAAAUACAAAAAGGAAUGAAAUGAAGAAGAGUGGGAGACUAACGUUUAAUUCAAGAUAAAGAAAGAAAGGUAAUCGCACCCCGACGGCGGCGACGUGGCGGUCAUUUAACGGAAAAUAACAGACAAAUCAGCCUCCAGAUCAAGUCUUGAAGCACAACUCUGAAAAAUCGACACUACCUACAGCUGAGCUCCGACCAACCGUUGAUGGAUGCAAUCCGGAAGCUCAGAGAUCAAGUCGCCAAGCAACAGCAGGUACUCUCUCUCUUGUUUGAUUCCGAAUUUGUAUUUCUGUAUGGAUUAUGAUAUGAACAUAAUCUGCGUUGAUUGCGAGAUACUAAGAUUGCUUAAUGAAAUAAUAUUUAUAUAAUUGUUCAAAUUGAAUUGGAUCGAAUUCGAAUAGAUUUUUCACUAUUUCUGAGCUGUUUGGGGCUGUGUUGGAGUGUAUUGUUGCUGAAUUUCUGAAAUUUUGAAUCUAGCAAACACCAGUUCUUUUUGUUUGAACAUCGAUCCACAUCAAUGGCUCUUGUGAGAACAUCUCCAGGAACCUCCUCUGAUUCCAACACUUUUCGGAGUUAUCGCUACGACGUGUUCUUGAGCUUCAGAGGCGAAGAUACUCGCAAGACUUUUACCGACCACCUCUACACAGCCUUGAACAACGCAGGAUUUCUUACGUUCCGAGACGACGAUGAACUUGAGAGAGGGGAAGAUAUAAAGCCAGGACUGCAGAAAGCGAUCCAGCAGUCACGAACUUCUGUUGUCGUGUUUUCGAAAGAUUACGCUUCAUCCAAGUGGUGUCUUGAUGAGCUUGUGCUGAUCCUUGAACGCAAGAGGACCACCUCGGACCAUGUAGUUUUACCAGUCUUCUACGAUGUCGAUCCGUCCCACGUGAGGAAGCAGACAGGAAGUGUUGGAAAAGCAUUUGCUAGAAGCCAGAAAAAUCAGUCGCCGGAAAAGGUGGAGGGAUGGAGGAAGGCACUUGCAGAGAUUGCAGACCUAGCAGGCAUGGUCUUACAAAAUCAAGCUGAUGGGUAACCUUCAUUAUCUCCAUUUCUCUUCUCUUUGUUGGGUCAAUUUGAUGUAUGAUCCGUAGUGACAUAGAUUUUUAUAUAUUUAUUAAUUCAAUCUCAGUAGUGAAUAAUAAUCCCAAUUCAGGUCAACUUAAAGAAAGCACACUCAACUCAACUUAAGGAUUAGUCAUUUUCCAUGUUAAUCUACUGGUUUCCAGUUGCUUAAAUUUUUUUUGAAAGCUGGUGUGGAAAAAAGUUAGGAUGUGAUCUGUUUUGUAUUUGUCUAUAGUUUGUAUAGAUUAUGCGCUGUAUUCCUUUUUUUUUCAAUUUAAUUUUGUCAGGCAAUCAACAUAUGUUUUAAUUAUCUAAUUUCCCCAAUUCAUUUUUCAUUUUGUUUGCAAAUUCUUAGGUACGAGGCAAAGUUUAUCGAAAAAAUUGUUAAAGUGAUAGAAGACAAGUUAAGUCGUAUGCCAUUGAGUGUUGAACCAAAAUUGAUUGGUAUUCAAUAUCAAGCCGAACGCAUCAAUUUGUGGUUACAAGAUGGAUCAAGUGGUGUUGGUAUAUUUGUUGUGUAUGGCAUGUCUGGAAUCGGGAAGACAACCAUUGCAAAACAUGUUUACAAUUCAAACUUUAGAAGCUUUCAAGGAAGUAGUUUCAUUGAAAAUAUCAAAGAAACAGCAGAUCGACCAAAUGGCUUAGUUCAAAUACAAAUGCAACUUCUUUGUGAUAUUUUGAACGGCAGAGAAGUGAAAAUACACAGUGUUAGUGAGGGAAUAAUUAAGAUUGAAAGGGCCAUAAGCUCUAGAAGAGUUCUACUUGUUCUUGAUGAUGUUGACCAUAUGGACCAAUUAGAUGCAAUCCUAAGGAUGAAAGAUCAGUUUUAUCCGGGAAGUAAGAUACUAAUAACAACUAGGCGUGAAAGGUUGCUAAAGGCAGAUCAAGUUACAGAGGUGCACAGAGUUCGGACUUUGUAUUACAAUGAAUCAUUAAAGCUUUUCAGUUGGCAUGCUUUUGGCCAGGACCAUCCCAUAGAAGAAUACAUGGAGCACUCAAAACAGCUUGUGCAACAUAGCGACGGACUUCCAUUAGCUCUAAAAGUUUUGGGUUCUUCUUUAUCAGGGGAAAGUAUAGGUGUAUGGGAAAGUGCAUUGGAGAAGCUAAAAGUUAUUCCUGAUGGUGAAAUCAUGAAUAAACUAAGAAUAAGCUAUGAAAGUUUAAAAGAUGACCAUGAUCGGAAAUUAUUCCUCCACAUUGCUUGUUUCCUAAUAGGAAGGAACAAAAGCUACAUUGUUAGAAUACUCGAUGGAUGUGAUUUCUAUACAAUCAUUGGCAUUCAAACUCUCAUUGAUAGAUGCUUGGUGACACUUGAUGAACACGGCAAGGUGAAAAUGCAUGACAUGAUUCGUGCUAUGGGAAGAGAAAUUGUUCGCCAAGAAUCAGAAGAGCUUGAGGAACGGAGUAGAUUAUGGCGCCAUAAGGAUUCUUUCCAAGUAUUGAGGAAAAAGAAUGUAAGAAACAUGCCUUUUAUGUCUAUAUAUGUAUUCCUUCUUGUGAAAAUUAUGCAUAUUAAUGUCUUUUUUUUUCCUUUAGGGUACAAAAAAAAUCCAAGGUCUUGUCCUGGAUAUGCGUAAUCAUCCUGCAAACAGUCCAAUAAACACAAAUGAGAUAGUCUUGGAAACCAAUGCAUUUGCAAGGAUGUGUAAUUUACAACUACUCCAUCUUAGUCAUGUACGACUGGAUGGAUGUUAUGCAGAUUUCCCUACAGGAUUAAGAUGGGUGUGUUGGCUUGAAUAUCCUUUGGAUUCUAUACCAAUUGAUUUUCCUUUGGAGAACGUAAUUGUUCUUGAAAUGCAAUACAGUAGCUUGAGACAAGUAUGCAAAGGAACAAAAGUAUGUUACUCUAUGCAUUUCAAUUCAUUUUCCUUAUUGUGUUAGUUUCUUAUUUGUUGACUAACUCCAUGUGUUAAAAUGAACUACUAUGUUUUCUUUAAUUCGAUGACUAAUUUCUUAUGUUAGAUACUUAUUUCAUUGUUCUUUUUUCUUUUCUUUUUUUCCCUCUGUUUCCACAGUUUCUUCCAUCGUUGAAGAUCCUUGACGUCAGCCAUUCUCAUGGCCUUAGUGAAACCAUUGACUUCUCACUUUUCCCCAAUCUAGAGGAACUGAUUCUUGUAGAUUGCACAAGCCUGAAGAAUGUUCAUGAAUCCAUUGGAAACCUAGAGCGACUCGUGUACUUGAAUAUGAAGGAUUGCAAGAAUCUUAGGAAGCUUCCGAAGAACAUGUGCAUGCUUAAAUCACUUGAAACGCUCAUUUUAUCUGGUUGCUCAAAUCUUGAUGAGUUUCCCUUGGAGAUGAUGAAGAAGAUGGAGUCUCUGAAAGUUCUUGAGACAGAUGGAAUUCCAAUAAGUGAAUUGUGGCCAGAAAGAAGUUCAACUAUCUUGAGUUCUUUUCCACGCUCUUUAGUAGAGUUAAGUCUGAAGGGAUGCAAUCUUUCUGAUGAUGUCUUUCCUACGGAUUUAAGUAAUUUAUCCUACUUGCGAGGACUACAUUUAGAUGAGAAUCCAAUUUGCAGUCUGCCAGUUUUCAUCAAAGGUUUGAGGAGGAUCGAUAAACUCUCUUUCAAGGGUUGUGAUAGGCUUGAAUCGCUUGUGGGGUUGCCGGAAGUACACCAAAUAAUGAGUAUAGUCAGAUGCAUAUCAUUAAAAAAAUAACUUUUCAUUCCCCUGGGCAACAUCAUCUAUCACGUGUAAUUUACAAUGACAACCGGAAUCUUGUUGAGGCGGAGUGUUUUUACAAGUUAGAGCCUAUUGAUAGAGUUGAUGUGGAAAUGAUCAAACUUUUGGGCUUGUGCAACUUGGAAUCCAUGCCAGCUGUUCGAAUGCAUCAUCCACUCACAAACUGGGAUCUAAUAGACGUCCCCGUCCAGGUGCGCCUCUUUUUCUCUCUCUCUCAUAAGUCUUAAAUAUAUAAUGGGAAAGAAAUGACUGAGUAAUGUUGUGAUGACUGUGGCAAAUACAUAGGGACUGUAUCAACAUGGUAUAUUCAGCACCUUUUUUGUUAGGAAUGAGGUUCCAGGCCUGUUCAGCUAUAAAAGUACCAAGUCCUCGAUAUCUUUUAUUGUCCCUUUACUACUUGCUAGUCACAGAAUUCGAGGCUUAAACAUCUUUGCUACCUAUGCAAAGGAAAAUUCAAAUAAUUAUUCUACUGGACCUAUUAUUGCUCCAAUAAUGAUCAAAGUGAGAAACAAGAGUAAGGGUCUGAAGUUGAUCUAUGACCCUGAGUUCUACGGAAUUCCAGGUGACGGAGAAAAUAUGAUAUGGUUGAGCCAUUGGAUGAUGGAGAAUAAAACAAUAUUACAAUGUGGAGAUGAAGUGGUGGUUUCGGUAAUAACCGGACCACGUGACAUGUUUUGGGUAAAGGAGUUUGGUGUCGACCUUGUGCAAGAGCACCAAGACAAGAUGAGUACCCAACACAACACCAAAUCCGAUCCUAAUUAUCCAUUUGUUAUCGGUGGAGAUUUGAAGAUGUUUGAGCGCAGACCGGGAAUAUACUUCCUUGGCAAUUAUGCAAGAAAAGAUAUUGAUGACAUUGAUAUCCUCACCAUGGCCUCUGAUGAAGAAGACACAAGUAUGUUGUGUUGUUGUAUAGCAUUGAAUUAUACUCCAUCCAAACACUUCCAUGUGUGGUCCGUAUUCAUUUCAAAAAUGUUUCCAAUAAAUGUUAUGUUAUUUGUAUGUUUUUCAGACAAAGAAAGACAAGAGGAUGAACCUGAUUACACAAUUGCAAAGACGAGGGCUGCUAGCAAUAACUGCAGCUUGAGAGGCUGGAAGGUGCGCCUCACAGCUGUCGGCUUCUUUUUUUCGCUUGCUCUAGUAGGUUGGUCCUCCAUCUCCCAAAAAAAGAAGCGACACUCGUCCACAAGCCCACCAUGAGUUUGUAAUUUGACUUGAUAUAGAUAUAUCUUUGCAUUCCUCUCAGGAUGUUUUCUAUCUUCAAAACUUCAAGUUCGCUAAGCACGCUUAACCGCUUGAGAUAUAAAAGCCCCUUGCAACUAGAUACCAAAGUUAAAAUGUGUUCAAAACAUCAAAUAUAGCAUAAAAUACAUCCAGCAUUAGUUAUACUAGCAGAGUAGCAAUAAAUAAGUAAAACAAAAAAAUGCUUCCACACACGGUAAGGGAUGGACUUUGACAUAGGUAUCUUUAGAGCAAUUCCACCCCUAAGGACUUUGCGUCCGCACCUAGCGCAUUUAUCCACUCAAAUGAACAGUAACAGACUCUAAUGAACAGUAAUAGGCCAAGCAUCUCCACCCCUAAAAAAAUGCGCUGGCACCUAGUAAAAAAAUGCGUUGGCACAAACGAUCUUCAUCCCUACAAAAUGCGCUGGCACCCAGCCCAUUUAAAAUAUUUUUAAAUGUUGUCUAAAAGAAUAAAAAAAUAAAAUAGUUUUAAUUUCGGAUAGGAUUUUUAACUAAUCUCGUCACACCACAUGUCAUUAUCUGAACGUACUAUUUUGUGAAUAGAUUUCCGCUAAGAUUUUCUGUAUUUUUUAAUAAUUUUUAAUGAAUUUUAAUAUAGUUAAUUAAUCUGGACCGUUAGAUUUGAAAAAAUAUUCAAAUCCAAGAGACAGGGAGUUGCCACGUGGCCAACAGUCAUAUUUCUGACCGUUGGGCCUUUUUUUUUUUUUUUUACUUUUUUGUAAAAAAAACGUGGACCGUUGAUCUUUGAUCCGACAGUCUAUUUUAAAAGUAAAAUUUAAAUUUUUUUACCGUUGGAAAUCCAACGGUCUAGAAAAGGGAGCCACGUCGCCAACUCGAGGGGGGGGGGGAAACUGAGUGCGCCACGCGGGCCCGCCUUCUGAAAUCUUGUCGGGCACUCGCGCCAGCACCUCCAUGAAGCGCACGCGCAAGGCAAACUGCCCAGCUUCUUGCUCAGUCUCGUUUGGGCUGGGUACCAGUCAAGUUGAAGGGGUGGACUUGGUUGACAGGGUGCUGGCCUUGUUUUUGUGCUGGAUCCUGGGCAAAUUCCACUGGGGUGGAAUUGCUCUUAGCAAUAACGGGCAAGAUUUUUUUUAGGGAGGGGGAAGGGAUUAUUUUGGCAUCGGGGAAAACAAAAACAUCCUAUCUGCUUAUGAAUGACAAAUUUACAAAUCUUAAUUGUCGUUUACAACAAAAUCAUUCUUAAAGACUCGGCUCCCCAUUGAAAUUGUGUAAAUUGCAUAUAUAACAAUACAACAGAUAUUAGAUAGAAUAAUAUAUAUCAAAUAAUUUAACGAUAGGACUUUACAGUUGGUUCAGCCUUGCAUUGCUACUACGCUACAGAAGCUGGUUUCUGCUUCUUCCACCUGAACAAAUUAUUGAGGUCAGGAAGUAUAGGAGGAACGGCCAUAGUCUCUGGAGCCAAGAAAUUUACUAUCUUCUCAUGAACAUUGUACCUGCAAAAGCAUAAUGCAAUAAGCAUUCAACAAUCUGACCUAGUUUGCUCAACAGAUGCUCUAAGAUAUUCCAAAACAAAGUCACAACAAUUUCACAUAGGGAACCGAAGAAUCAUGUUCAUCCACUCAACACAUCCAAAGCAGCAAACUAACUAGGAUACCAGGUUGGGAGGAUACAAUCAUUAACAAUUUCAAAAGCUUUAAACGCAAUCUGAAUAUAUGGCAAGUAGGGGUAAACAUGUGAACAGAAAAGUCAAAGAACAUAAUCAAAUCGAAUAAGUCAAUUUUGGCCUAGAUUGAAAUGAAAAAAAAAACAAGGAAAUGCUUUGUGUAUCGAUUUGUUUAUGAAGGAAAUAAAUGCUUUGUGUAUCCAUUCGUCUAUCAAUUUGUUUCUGAAAGUGGCUAUUCUACAAGAUACAGCAUGACAGGUCUUAGUUGGACCAAGUAACCGGCAUGGAAAUGCUUUCUGAAGCAAGAAUCUGAACUCAAGAGUUUUGUGCCAGAGAGACUUCAGAAAAAUGAAAAAAACAACAUAGAAUAUGGGUAAGAAUAAACAUCGAUUAGACAAUAAUUCACUGUAUAAAUAAUUUUUUCAACUUUAAAGUGUGGCUUAAAAAGAAGCUUUAAACAAGUAGCAAUAAUUUCAUAUUGAAAAAUAAAACCUAUUUCAUGGAUAUUACAAGAGCCAUUAUUUUGAAAAACACACCUUUUGGUUCUUCACUGCUUGACUUUUAAGAAGUUCUUUGUUCUUGUGACAAUUCAGAUUCUUUAAAAUAUCUCUGCAACGGAAUAAACAAAACCAAUCUAGGCAAAAAUUGACUUGUUCGAUUUGAUUAUGUUCACUGAUUUUUCUGUUCACAUGUUUACCCCUACUUGCCAUAUAGUUUUAGUUUUGGGGUGUUAGCGCAUAGUGCUCUUCUCUUUACACACCAGUUUCAAUUUUAUUCUUCGUAAAUUAAGAGACCGUUUGAUAAUCAUUUCGUUUUCAAUUUUAAAAAAUAUAAAAAACUAAAUAAAGUUUUCAAAAUUUGACCUAGAAUUUUCGCUUUUGGUUUUCAAUUUUAAUUUUUUUUUAAACAACUGAAAACUAAAAAUAGUUACAAAAAGAAUUUUUCAGUUUUUAAUUUACAAAAAAGUAAAAACUGAAAACUCUAUACUAUAGACUAAAAAUUAAAAAGUGAAAUCGAAAUGGGCUCUCAACAAAAUUGAAAAAAGACUGGGCUGAAUUACUGAAUUCAAAGCAGGGCUUAUUAACGUUACGAGGCCCAAUGGAUAUGUAUAAAUAUUUUUCGUUUUUUGUUUAACAAACGAUAUUAUUUAUAUGGGCUUAAUGUUACAGUGAGCUAACAAUAAUGUGGUUCAAAUUUGCUUUUCGUAAGAAUCGAAUCUAAAACUUCUCACUUAGAGAAAUACCUCUAAACCGUAAUCUGAGUGGCUCGUUAUUUUAUUUUAUAUUUUAAGAAAAAAGAAAGAAAGCAAUGAAAAGCUGUACAUAAAAUAAAUACAAAAAGCUAAGAAAUGAAGAAGAGUGGGAGACUAACGUUUAAUUCAAGAUAAAGAAAGAAAGGUAAUCGCAAGACGACGGCGGCGACGUGGCGGUCAUUAAACGGAAAAUAACAGACAAAUCAGCCUCCAGAUCAAGUCUUGAAGCACAACUCUGAAAAAUCGAGACUACCUACAGCUGAGCUCCGACCAACCGUUGAUGGAUGCAAUCCGGAAGCUCAGAGAUCAGGUCGCCAAGCAACAGCAGGUACUCCCUCUCGUUUGAUUCCGAAUUUGUAUUUCUGUAUGGAUUUUGAUAUGAACAUAAUCUGCGUUGAUUGCGAGAUACUGAGAUUGCUUAAUGAAAUAAUAUUUAUAUAAUUGUUCGAGUUGAAUUGGAUCGAUUCGAAUUCAAAUAGAAUUUCACUAUUUCUGAGCUGUUUGGGGAUGUGUUGGAGUGCAAUGUUGAUGAAUUUCUGAAAUUUUGAGCUAGGUGUUGCUAAUUACUUAUCAAUUUUUGAUGUAAUUGGAUGCUUAAUUUUUACAUUUUCGGAAAACUUCAAGCGAAAAUGGCAUAUAAUUCAACGUUCCAUGCUUCAUUAAUGCAUAUGAGUUAGUCGAAGCUUCAUCGAGUUUGCUUUUGAUUAUUUUGUGAACACCGUCAGGCCGUGUUCAAACAAUUUUCUGGUGGCAUAUAUGGGGGAUCGGAUAAUGUUGCCUCGGAUGAAAAUGAAUUUCAACAGCAUCAGAAACUCGAGAAGCUGUACAUAUCAACUCGUGCUGCCAAGGUUGCUACGCUUAUUUUUGUCUGUGCUUUAAACGAGCAUCACGUUAGUUGUGUUACCUAUCGUUUUUUGCUUCUUCUUUAACAGCAUUACCAAAAGGAAAUUGUCCGCGGAGUGGAAGGUUACAUUGUGGCCGGUUCAAAGCACGUUGAAAUAGGUAUGUUGCUUGAAAUGCGUUGUCUUUUCUUGGGAGUUUGGAUAUGAAUUCGUGUUGGUUUUAUCAGCUGGUAUACAUAAUACUUUUUCAACAGGUACGAAGCUAUCAGAAGAUAGCAGGAAAUAUGGUUCUGAAAAGACUUGCACCAGUGGUAACACAUUGUCGAGAGCUGCACUGAGUUUUGGAAGAGCUCGGGCCCAAAUGGAAAAAGAGUGCGGAGUUCUACUUAAAGCCCUUGGCACACAGGUUUAAGUCAAAUUAUUACUAACAAUGGCUCAUUAAGUAAAAAUCAAAUAUUGCCAGGGCCAGUUUCAUACAAAUGGAAUUUCAACUGACUAAUUUUCGUGUGCAUUUGAUCAUUUCGAAAGAAAUUUACAGCAAAAAUUGUUUUCAUUUCCACGUCGUGGUUCAAGAAUUGGACUACUUUUUGUGUUUCUAUGCAUCGUAUGACAAACUGGCUCACCAUUUCUUUCUAUAGGUUUGCAUAAUAACUCUUUGUGUGCUUAUCAAUUUGCCUGUGUAGGUUGCAUAGCCUUUAUAGUGGGAGCGCCCAUGGAGGAUGCUCGACAUCUUGCUCAACGUUAUGCUAGAAUGCGGCAAGAAGCUGAAGCUCAGGUAUAUGCAGUUUCUUCUGUUUCCUACCAAUUUUAUUCUACAGUGAUUUUAUAUCCAAAACAAGCAUUGACUUGGCUGUCCAUCCAUCAAUAGCAGGUCCACAUCUCAACCCAAAUAUAAUGACGUCAAAGGAGAGGGGAAAAUGAGAAGGAAACUCUGGAGGGUAGAGGGAAGGAAAAGGAGAAAAGGAGAAAGGGAGAAGGGAAAAGUAGAACGGGAAGGAGGAAAAUGAGAGGAAAUUUCGGAGAAUAGAGAAAAGGAGAAGGGAAAAGAAGAAAAGCAGAAAAGAAGGGAAAAGGGGAAGGAAGCUUAGGAGGCUAGAGAAAAAGAGGGAAAUGCAUAAAAAUAAAAAAAUAAAAAAGGAAAGUCGCCUUCAUCAUUAUGUCUACUAACGGAAAGGAGCAACCACAUUGUAAAUUAUACUAAAAAUAUGACUUUAACCCCUCAAACUCAAUUUCUUUCAUAUAAAACCCGACAUAACAUUUUUACUCGAAUAAAACCCAAUGACUAGACUUCACAUAAGCAAAUUCAUUAAUUAUGACAUUUUAAAAAUUUCUAAUGCCUAAAAUACCCCUGUUUGCAUGUUUAAUGUGCACAAUUAAACAUAUGCAGAUUUUAAGGAGGAUUAAUGAUUUUACAAAAAUAAAAUAAUAAAAAAGGCACAAAUAUUCUAAAUGCAUUGCAUGUUAUAUGAAUUUGGUUGAUUCAUGUUUCUCUCACUUCAUAAAAUUUGCUUCUAAUUUGAUAUAGGAAUUAAUUUGGAAAGUUUUCUUAAUCUUAAUAACAAUUUUCAAUUUAAAUAUAUUUUUUAAUGAAAUAGUCUAUCUUUUAAAAUAAUUAUCAAUAAAAUAAUGAAAUAGUCUAUCUUUUCAAUUUAAAUAAUGUACCUGUUAUUUAAUUUUUACAACACUAAUGUAUCUUAAAAAAUAAUUUACUUAUUGUUUAGUUUUAGCAAAAAUAAUUUACCUACUGUGUAUAAUUGGUGAAGCUAAUGAUGUACAUAUUGUUUAAUUUUUUAAAAAUUAAUGUAUGUACAAAAAUAAUUUAUCUAUUGUUCAAAUUUUAGGAUAAAAAUUUACAUGUUUUUAUUUAACAAUAAUGUAUCUACAAUUUAUUUUUGUAUGAAUAUAAUUUACCUACUUUUUAAUUUUAUAUGAAACUAAUUUACCUACUGUGUCAGUAAUGUAUCUACAAUUUUACAUACAAUAUUUACCUUCUUUUUUUUUUUCACAACAAUAGUGUAUCUACAAUUUUGUUUUUGUAUGAAUAUAGUUUACCUACAAUUUAACUUUUCAAAAAAUGUAUCUUCUAUUUUAUAGUUUACUAUCAUAUAUAUGUUUAUGUGUUCGCAAAAUAAUUUAUCUAAAGUUAUAUAGUUAAGAGAUAUGCUAAUGAAUUAUAUUAAUUCAUUAUUAGACUGAUAUAAGAAAUUGUUAAAAACGUUAGCCAUAAUGGUUGGCUAAUAAUGGUUGUAUGAGAACAGUUAUAGAAAGUUGUGGCAUAAAUUGUAAAUAACUUAUAUUAAUAGGUUACUUAUUUUCUUAUUUGGUAAUUUAUUUAAAUUUUGGGUUUUGAUUGAAUGUUUAUUCAUAGGUGGGUUUUUAUCUGAAGUAUAUGAGUUGUAUGGGUCUAUAUCUAAACAACCCUAAAUUAUAUUUUGUAUAAUGAGAAACCAGUAUUCCUACCCCGAGGGUAUAGACACAACUUACUAAAUCUCGUUACUAUACAGCAAGCUUAUAAUUGCGCAAUAAUUCGAUCAACCAUCUUAAGUUCAACCAUUCAUGUAACAAGAUUCAAGUUUUCUAAACUUUCCUUAUUAAGGUAACUGAACAUUACAAGUGCCACGUUAUUAUGCGGUUCUAUCAAGUUUUAAUUUUUGUCUCAUAACCACAUCAUCUUUAGGACAAUCAUCUUGUAGUUGAAUAUAUAAACCUUCGAUAUGGCGAUAUUGGAAACGCUUGUUGGUGGGUUGAUUGGUAGAAAUGGUUCCAACAAUUCAAGGAUGAGAAAUGAGCAUUGAGCAACGAACAAAAUAUAUUGUAUUUUAUCACAAAAGAUGUUUGUGCAAUUAAAAGUGCAUUUUAUCACAAAGAGGUGAGCAACGAUCAAUAUAAUUGUUAUUUAUAAAAGGGAACAUUAACAAAAGUUUCCGGUACUGUUUAUUUUAAUAAAAAAUUACAUUUUUACAUUAAAAGUCAAUACUGAUACUAUUUAUUUUACCCUUUAUUUUAUCUUUAUUAUUAAAACUCAAAAUUUUUAAAUUUCUUUUAUUAAUUUUUUUUUUAUAAAAUCACACGUAAAACAAGAAGUAAUCUUUUCUUUUUCUUUUCGUCUCUGCCACAAGCGGCCGACCAUGACUUAAACAAACGCUUUUUGGGUGGGUCAAGGUAUGGGAACGACCCAUUUUAUAUGUUACAUGGUUGUGCAAUUAAAAGUGCAUUGUAUCAUAAAAAGGUGAGCAACGAUCACUAUAAUUGUUAUUUAUAAAAUCACACAAAACACAAGAAGGAAUCUUUUCUUUUUCUUUUUCAUCUCUGCCACUACCAGCCAUGACUUAAAAGAAACGUUUUUUGGUUCAAUGGAUGGGAACGGCCCAUUUUAUAAUAAGGAAAAUUAAUAAAAAAAAAUUUUAAAUUUAAAUUUUAACGAAAAUAAUAAAAAGAUGUUGUAAGUGAAUAAUACAUGAUUGAUUUUUUUGAAUAAAAAAAUAUAUAUUGUUUUAAAUAAACAGUAUUAGGAGUGUUUGGUUCAAAUCCCUUUAUAAUAUUGUUCGUAAAUUUUUCUGGAAGUAGAUGGAAAUGACCCAAUUACAUAUUUCCCCUGCUCACAGACAUUUUCAUUGCACCUAGAAAACCAGUUUUUUGUUAGAAAAUCGAUCCACAUCAAUGGCUCUUGUGAGAACAUCUCCAGGAACCUCCUCUGAUUCCAACACUUUUCGGAGUUAUCGCUACAACGUGUUCUUGAGCUUCAGAGGCGAAGAUACUCGCAAGACUUUUACCGACCACCUCUACACAGCCUUGAACAACGCAGGAUUUCUUACGUUCCGAGACGACGAUGAACUUGAGAGAGGAGAAGAUAUAAAGCCAGGACUGCAGAAAGCGAUCCAGCAGUCACGAACUUCUGUUGUCGUGUUUUCGAAAGAUUACGCUUCAUCCAGGUGGUGUCUUGAUGAGCUUGUGCUGAUCCUUGAACGCAAGAGGACCACCUCGGACCAUGUAGUUUUACCAGUCUUCUACGAUGUCGAUCCGUCCCACGUGAGGAAGCAGACAGGAAGUGUUGGAAAAGCAUUUGCUAGAAGCCAGAAAAAUCAGUCGUCGGAAAAGGUGGAGGGAUGGAGGAAGGCACUUGCAGAGAUUGCAGACCUAGCAGGCAUGGUCUUACAAAAUCAAGCUGAUGGGUAACUUUCAUUAUCUCCAUUUCUCUUCUCUUUCUUGGGUCAAUUUGAUGUAUGAUCCGUGGUGACCUAGAUUUUUAUAUGUUUAUUAAUUCAAUCUCAGUAGUGAAUAAUAAUCUCAAUUUAGGUCAACUUAAAGAAAUCACACUCAACUCAACUUAAGGAUUAGUCAUUUUCCAUGUUAAUCUACUGGUUUCCAGUUGCUUAAAUUUUUUUGAAAGCUGGUGUGGAAAAAAGUUAGGAUGUGAUCUGUCAUGUAUUUGUCUAUAGUUUGUAUAAAUUAUGCGCUGUAUUCCUUUCUUUUUUUUUCAAUUUAAUUUUGUCAGCAGUCCCUUUUUUUUUUUUUUUUUCUUAUUUAAAUAAAGGCAAUCAACAUAUGUUUGAAGGGAACUUUAACGAAAAGCUCCCAGUACUGUUCACUUUAACGAAAAACCACAUUUUUUCACUAAAAAGUAAAUCCUGAUACUAUUUACUUUAUCCUUUAUUUUGUAAUUAUAUAUUUUCCCAAUUCAUUUUUCGUUUUGUUUGCAAAUUCUUAGGUACGAGUCAAAGUUUAUCAAAAAAAUUGUUAAAGUGAUAGGAGACAAGUUAAGUCGCACGCCAUUGAGUGUUGAACCAAAAUUGAUUGGAAUUCAAUCUCAAGCCGAACGCAUCAAUUUGUGGUUCCAAGAUGGAUCAAGUGAUGUUGGUAUAUUUGUUGUGUAUGGCAUGUCUGGAAUAGGGAAGAAAACCAUUGCAAAACAUGUUUACAAUUCAAACUUUGGAAGCUUUCAAGGAAGUAGUUUCAUUGAAAAUAUCAAAAAAACAGCAGAUCGACCAAAUGGCUUAGUUCAAAUACAAAUGCAACUUCUUUGUGAUAUUUUGAACGGCAGAGAAGUGAAAAUACACAGUGUUAGUGAGGGAAUAAUUAAGAUUGAAAGGGCCAUAAGCUCUAAAAGAGUUCUACUUGUUCUUGAUGAUGUUGACCAUAUGGACCAAUUAGAUGCAAUCCUAAGGAUGAAAGAUCAGUUUUAUCCUGGAAGUAAGAUACUAAUAACAACUAGGUGUGAAAGGUUGUUAAAGGCUGAUCAAGUUACAGAGGUGCACAGAGUUCAAACUUUGGAUGACAAUGAAUCAUUAAAGCUUUUCAGUUGGCAUGCUUUUGGCCAGGACCAUCCCAUAGAAGAAUACAUGGAGCACUCAAAACAGCUAGUGCAACAUAGCGGCGGACUUUCAUUAGCUCUAAAAGUUUUGGGUUCUUCUUUAUCAGGAGGAAGUAUAGGUGUAUGGGAAAGUGCAUUGGAGAAGCUAAAAGUUAUUCCUGAUGGUGAAAUCAUGACUAAACUAAGAAUAAGCUAUGAAAGUUUAAGUAAUCUAUCAUACUUGCGAAGACUACAUUUAGAUGAGAAUCCAAUUUGCAGUCUGCCAGUUUUCAUCAAAGGUUUGAGGAGGAUCGAUGAACUCUCUUUCUGGGGUUGUGAGAGGCUCGAAUCGCUUGUGGGGUUGCCGGAAGUGCACCAAAAGAUAAAUAUAGUCAGAUGCAUAUCAUUAAAAAAAAUAACUUAUCAUUCCCCUCCGCGACCGGUUACAAUACAUUUGCGUGACAACUGGAAUCUUGUUGAGUGGGAGCACUAUUACAAGUUAGAGCCUAUUGAUAGAGUUGAUGUGGAAAUGAUCAAACUUUUGGGCUUGUGCAACUUGGAAUCCAUGCCAGCUGUUCGAAUGCGUUAUCCUUCCUACACAAACGGGGUUCCAAAAGAGGUCCCCGUCCAGGUGCGCCUCUUUUUCUCUCUCUCUCGUAAGUCUUAAAUAUAUAAUGGGAAAGAAAUGACUGAGUAAUGUUGUGAUGACUGUGGCAAAUACAUAGGGACUGUAUCAACAUGGUAUAUUCAGCACAUUUUUUGUUGGGAAUGAGGUUCUAGACCUGUUCAGCUAUAAAAGUACCAAGUCUUCGAUAUCUUUUAUUGUCCCUAUACUACUUGCUAGUCACAGAAUUCGAGGCUUGAACAUCUUUGCUACCUAUGCAAAGGAAAAUUC